rnacentral:tRNA from 1 species
ACGGGCCUCGAUCCCGUAAUAUUUUAGUUAACAGCUAAACACUCUAUCCAGCGAGCUUCAUUCUACUUCUCCCGCUUCAAAA